ACUCCUGCGGGAGGCAGCAGUGGGGAAUUUUGGACAAUGGGCGAAAGCCUGAUCCAGCAAUGCCGCGUGAGUGAAGAAGGCCUUCGGGUUGUAAAGCUCUUUUGUCAGGGAAGAAACGGUGAGAGCUAAUAUCUCUUGCUAAUGACGGUACCUGAAGAAUAAGCACCGGCUAACUACGUGCCAGCAGCCGCGGUAAUACGUAGGGUGCAAGCGUUAAUCGGAAUUACUGGGCGUAAAGCGUGCGCAGGCGGUUUUGUAAGUCUGAUGUGAAAUCCCCGGGCUCAACCUGGGAAUUGCAUUGGAGACUGCAAGGAUAGAAUCUGGCAGAGGGGGGUAGAAUUCCACGUGUAGCAGUGAAAUGCGUAGAUAUGUGGAGGAACACCGAUGGCGAAGGCAGCCCCCUGGGUCAAGAUUGACGCUCAUGCACGAAAGCGUGGGGAGCAAACAGGAUUAGAAACCCUGGUAGUCCCAUG
rnacentral:rRNA from 1 species